GAAGACAGCUGCACUGCAGAGCCAGAAGGAUGGGACUGCCGGCCCCCAAGGAGCCCCAGGCCUGAGUGUCCAGCUGGCAGGCCAGGAAGAAAGAGGAGGAGGGGGCUAAAAGGUGGUGAUGACAAGAGGAAUGGCCAGUCCUUACCCACUUCAUCUUUACCAAGAAAAGGUGCCCUCCCAACCAAACCUAUGAUAACCAGAUAUAACACAAGAAAAAGAGAGAGAUACAGAAAGAAAGACAGAGAGAGAGAGAGGAAGAAGAAGAAGAAGAAGGAGGUGGAGGAGGAGAAAAAAGAAAAAGAGAGAGAGAGAAAGGAAGA
rnacentral:lncRNA from 1 species